UGCCGGCCCCGCCUCCUCCUUGCAGCCGCCCUGGGGCUCCAGCAGGAUGGUGGGGGGCUUGGGCAGGACCCCGUUGAUGACGGGCAGCAGGGAGGUGCCGGGCACGGGCUCCGGGGCAAAGCCGCACACCUCGCAGGCCGCCCUGCCCAGGAGGUUGCGGAACGUGCAGCGGGCGCAGGGCCACUUCUGCUCCUCCACACUGAGCCGCAGGAUCUGGUCCAGGUCGGGCUUGUGCCGGGGGGCCUCGCAGAUGGAGCACUGGCGCUGGCCGGCCGGGUUCAGGAAGGUGCAGCGGGCGCAGGACCACUCUCCAACCGCAGCCAUGGGCCCGGGCGAGUGGGUGUGGCUGCAAGGGAAGGCGGCCGUCAGCGACUCCCCACGCGUCAAGGCUGACUCCCCACGGGUCGGAGCCGUUGGGUGGAAAAGACUUUGCAACGAGCCGUGCUGGGAAAACUGCAUCUAAACGCUCAAGAGUGAUGCCGGGCCCUCACCUCGCAGCACAGGAAGGAAAUGAACUCAAAACCCACCAACCCCAAAGCUGAAUAUAUGAAAAGCCCUUCCGACUACACAGCGUACAGCCUGUCUUUAAGGCUGGGCAGAGGUGCUACAAAGAUACAGAGCUGGUGAGAAGGUGCCCAGUGUCGGCAACUUCAGGGACACACCAAGAGGUAGGACCUUGCACCUGCUCGGGGCCAGGACCACGGGGCAGAGGGGACGGCGCUGGUGAGGAUGCGGGGAAAGCUGGGGCUGCCCUGAGAGGCUGGCGGGACUGUCAGGGGUCCCGCUGUGCUGGAACACAGACGGUUCCUCGGAAAGGUAAACAGAAUCCCCCGAGGCUUCCUCGGAAAGGUAAACAGAAUCCCCCGAGGCUUCCUCGGAAAGGUAAACAGAAUCCCCCGAGGCAGCAGGCCCACCCCAGGAAUGUGCUUUACACACGUGAGACCUGGUGCUCUUCUCACAAACACCCCCCAACACACACACACAGGCACUCACUCACACACACACAGGCACUCACACACCCACACCCACGCCCUCACACCCACCCACGCACUCACACACUCACGCACCCACACCCACGCACUCACACACACUCACACCCACCAACCCGCACUCACACCCACCCACACCCACGCACUCACACGCACGCACUCACACCUACCCACCCACUCACACACUCGCACGCACUCACACACACACGCAGGCACUCACACACACCUGCACUCUCUCUCUCUCACACACACACACUCAAAGCAGAUCUGCUCACAACAGUCAGGGUGGAAAGGACCCAGGUACUGUCACUGAAUAAGUGGAUAAAGGAGACACGGAUCACUUGGUCCCCAAGAACGGAUGGGCCCCGAAAGACAACAAGCCUCACGUGUGUGAAUGAAACACAGGCAACGAGCUGGAUAGGCAAACCCAGAGGCAGGCAGAAGCCUGGAGGUUCCUGGGGCUGAGGAGGGGACGGGAGGCUCUCAGCUCCAGGGGCCUCGGGGGCGGGCAGACCUGGCCUCUGGAGGGCGGAUCUGGGUGCGGGAGGCGUCUACACCCCGCAACACCCUCUCCUACACGCACUGCAGCUGCUCUGCUUGGCAGAAAAAUCAAUUGUUCUUUACAACAAGGCACG
rnacentral:lncRNA from 1 species